UCUCUUAAUUCUACUGUCUCAUAUUCUCUUUUUCUUUUUCUAUUUUUCCUAUCUAUAAAUGUUUUUGGUGAAAGAAUCAUCCAUAGUGAUCUAGCUAAAAAUAUAUAAACUAAAGCAACAGCAAGAGACACAACAACUCUCCAAAUUCUAAGCCACCAUUUUCCAAAGAAUCCUUCUACAUCAUCUAAGAUUUCAUGAGGCAUUGUAGAGUCUUGAUUAUUUGCAUGAACUUCAAUAGAAAUAUCAGACUUUUCUCUCAUUUCUUCAAUAAGUUCUUCUUCAAUAUUUGU
ensembl:ncRNA Y40C7B.7 ncRNA